GUCCUGAACAGUUGCAAGUUAAAAACUUGUGAUUAUGUUGUUUAAUGAAUGUAAAGACUUGUUCGCUAUCCUAGCUUCGUAGAACCAGGCCUUGUACUGUCAAAUGAAGACAGUGAAAAUGUCUCAAAACUAUUUGCGACUGUCAUUCUUCAGUCGACUUUUUGGCAUUUGAUAUAUCACUAUGUCGAUUUAAUACUUGUUGGCGGGGAUAAUUGUGUUCCUAUUUCACUAGUUUUAUUGUGUGCCUAGUUUCACUAG